rnacentral:rRNA from 1 species
UACGUAGGGACCGAGCGUUGUCCGGAAUCAUUGGGCGUAAAGAGCGUGUAGGCGGCUUGCUAAGUCUUGCGUGAAAUCUCGGGGCUCAACCCCGAGCGGUCGUGGGAAACUGGCAGGCUAGAGUGCGGGAGAGGAGAAUGGAAUUCCUGGUGUAGCGGUGAAAUGCGCAGAUAUCAGGAGGAACACCGGUGGCGAAGGCAGGUCUCUGGGCCACUACUGACGCUGAGAAGCGAAAGCAUGGGGAGCGAACAGG